AACGUAGGGGGCGAGCGUUGCCCGGAUUCACUGGGCGUAAAGCGCGUGUAGGCGGUCCGUUAAGUCGGAUGUGAAAUCUCUGGGCUCAACCCAGAAAUCGCAUCCGAUACUGGCGGACUUGAGGAUGGUAGAGGUUGGUGGAAUUCCCGGUGUACCGGUGAAAUGCGCAGAUAUCAGGAGGAACACCGGUGGCGAAGGCGGGUCUCUGGGCCGAUACUGACGCUGAGGAGCGAAAGCGUGGGGAGCGAACAGG
rnacentral:rRNA from 1 species